AACGAACGCUGGCGGCAGGCUUAACACAUGCAAGUCGAGCGCCCCGCAAGGGGAGCGGCAGACGGGUGAGUAACGCGUGGGAAUCUACCCAUCUCUACGGAAUAACGCAUGGAAACGUGUGCUAAUACCGUAUACGUCCUUCGGGAGAAAGAUUUAUCGGAGAUGGAUGAGCCCGCGUUGGAUUAGCUAGUUGGUGGGGUAAAGGCCUACCAAGGCGACGAUCCAUAGCUGGUCUGAGAGGAGGAUCAGCCACACUGGGACUGAGACACGGCCCAGACUCCUACGGGAGGCAGCAGUGGGGAAUAUUGGACAAUGGGCGCAAGCCUGAUCCAGCCAUGCCGCGUGAGUGAUGAAGGUCUUAGGAUUGUAAAAUUCUUUCACCGGGGACGAUAAUGACGGUACCCGGAGAAGAAGCCCCGGCUAACUUCGUGCCAGCCGCCGCUGUAACAC
rnacentral:rRNA from 1 species